UUUUAAGUACUAUAAAUCACAACAACUGAAAGACCCCUGGAGUGGGGAGACCCUCACUCAAGUCUCAGGAUGACGUGACCCCCCAAGAAUACACACAGGACG
rnacentral:pre_miRNA from 14 species